AACGAACGCUGGCGGCAGGCCUAACACAUGCAAGUCGAACGAGAGCUCCGUGAGUGCUUGCUCUUGCGUGCGUAACGCGGCGGACCCUGCCCUUAGGCUCGGGAUUACUCCCCUUCGUGGGUGCUAACACCGGAUAAUUUCCUCUAAUCCCAGAUUCAUCCUCUUUGUAUGGGCCGGCGUUGUUUUAACUUGUUGGUAUUGUAAAAGCCUACGAAGGCUACGAUCCAUAGCUGGUCUGAGAGGAUGAUCAGCCACACUGGGACUGAGACACGGCCGAGACUCCUACGGGAGGCGGCAGUGGGGGAUAUAGGAAAAUGGGCGAAAGGCUGAUCCAGUAAGGCCGCGUGAGUGAUGAAGGCCUUAGGGUUGUAAAGCACUUUUACCCGGGAUGAUAAUGACAGUACCGGGAGAAUAAGCUCCGGCUAACUCCGUG
rnacentral:rRNA from 1 species